rnacentral:lncRNA from 1 species
UGGGCUCAGAGCCAUUCAGUGCGAGGAACUUCACCCAGUAGGGCCCGGGGCCGGGCAGGGGCCCAUUGCAGUUGGGUACAGAGAUGUUGUCAGCACAGCCGGUCUCGCUGCCCACGCGCAGCACAGUGAGCUCCCUAUCGGGUUUAGGGCAGCCGUAGUGGUACUGCAUGGCACCCAGCGUCAGGUAGGCUGACGUGUUGGUAGGGAAGCGCUGGAAGCUCCACUCGGG